GCCGGCGUAGCUCAGUGGUAGAGCAUCGCACUCAUAAAGCGGAGGUCGCAGGUCCGAUCCCUGCCGCCGGCACUA
rnacentral:tRNA from 2 species